rnacentral:rRNA from 1 species
GAUGAACGCUAGCGGCAGGCUUAAUACAUGCAAGUCGAGGGACAGCACAGGUAGCAAUACUGGGUGGUAACCGGCAAACGGGUGCGGAACACGUACACAACCUUCCUUUAAGUGGGGGAUAGCCCAGAGAAAUUUGGAUUAAUACCCCGUAAUAUAGUUGAAUGGCAUCAUUUGAUUAUUAUAGCUACGGCGCUUAAUGAUGGGUGUGCGGCUGAUUAGAUAGUUGGUGGGGUAACGGCCCACCAAGUCUACGAUCAGUAGCUGAUGUGAGAGCAGAAUCACGAACACGAGAACUGGGACACGGGCGCGACUUCGACGGGAGGCAGCAGUAAGGAAUAUUGGUGGGUGGACGCAAGUCGGAAGCAGAGAUGACGCGUGAAGGAUUGAGAUCCUCUGCAUUGUAAGCGUCUUUUAUUUGGGCCGUAAAGGGGCGUAUCUGGGACAACUGACGGUACCAGAUCGAUAAGCACGGGCUAGCGCCGGACCCGCCGGCGCGGUAGUAC